AAGUCGUAACAAGGUUUCCGUAGGUGAACCUGCGGAAGGAUCAUUACCGAGUUCGAAACGGGCUGUCGCUGGCCUCCCUCGGGGGGCAUGUGCACGCUCGGCUCGCUCCAUCACACCUGUGCACCUUUGGUAGUCUGGCUCGAUUAGACCACUGGGCGUCGAGCCUCGCUAUGUUUUUAUACACUACGUCAGUCUCAGAAUGUAAUGCAUGCUAUAAACGCAUUUUAAUACAACUUUCAACAACGGAUCUCUUGGCUCUC
rnacentral:misc_RNA from 1 species